ncrna:unclassified sequences DTF3800-I RNA
UUUAACUGCAGGUAAGGAUAACCUAUACUGCGUACUCGUGAAAACCGAAUUAACGUUUAAACGACUUGUAAAGUCGUCGGACAUGAGGAAAAGCUGUCACAUCAAGUGAUGGCUUUUUUAUUUUGAGA